rnacentral:lncRNA from 10 species
GCGCAUUAUGCUGGUCUCCAUGGCGGGGCCUCGGAGCCAAGACGAGAGAAAAUGCUGCUGUGAAGACCCAAUUAAAGCUUUCACAUAAAUGAAGCUACAGCUAUCAUGAUUUAGUGCCCCCAAAAGGAAGAACUUCAGUGGACAAGAAAGGACAUUUCUGGGGGUAGUAGAAUGCUUGAGGCCUGGAAUUUAAACCUGAGCCACUAUCUGAAGGUUUAAUAUAUCUUUGCCAAGUCCAAGGGUACAAAGAUUUUCUCCUGUGUUUUCUUCUAGAAGUUUUAUCAUUUGAUAGUCUGUGAUCCAUUUCAAGUUGAUUUGCUAUCUGGUGUGAGGCUGGAGUGCAGUGCUAUGAUCACAGCUGACUGCAGUCUUAACCUCCCAGGAUCAAGUGAUCCUCCCACCUCAGCCAUCUGAUUACCUGGGACUGCAGCUAUUAAAUAAUAGAAGAAAAUGGAAUUGAAUAUGAUGUCAGCAUGGAACAAUCUAAUGAUUCAUUAAGAGUCAACCAUAAUGACGGUGAAGAGUCAAAAACCAGUG